UGGUUCUGGCAUNGAUGAAGAACGCAGCGAAAUGCGAUAAGUAAUGUGAAUUGCAGAAUUCAGUGAAUCAUCGAAUCUUUGAACGCACAUUGCGCCCCUUGGUAUUCCGAGGGGCAUGCCUGUUCGAGCGUCAUUUAAACUCUCAAGCACCGCUUGGUCUUGGGUGCGGCCCUCGGGCCCUCCCGCAACUCGUCGGCGGUGCCGUCCGGCCCCGAGCGUAGCAAGAAUACUCCCUCGCUCGGUCGCCCGGCGGCGCCCGCCCCGGAACCACAUCGCAGUUUGACCUCGGAUCAGGUAGGGAUACCCGCUGA
rnacentral:misc_RNA from 1 species